rnacentral:rRNA from 1 species
UGGGGAAUAUUGGACAAUGGGCGAAAGCCUGACCCAGCCAUGCCGCGUGUGUGAAGAAGGUCUUCGGAUUGUAAAGCACUUUAAGUUGGGAGGAAGGGUAGUAACUUAAUACGUUGCUAUUUUGACGUUACCGACAGAAUAAGCACCGGCUAACUCUGUGCCAGCAGCCGCGGUAAUACAGAGGGUGCAAGCGUUAAUCGGAAUUACUGGGCGUAAAGCGCGCGUAGGUGGUUUGUUAAGUUGGAUGUGAAAGCCCCGGGCUCAACCUGGGAACUGCAUCCAAAACUGGCAAGCUAGAGUACGGUAGAGGGUGGUGGAAUUUCCUGUGUAGCGGUGAAAUGCGUAGAUAUAGGAAGGAACACCAGUGGCGAAGGCGACUACCUGGACUGGUACUGACACUGAGGUGCGAAAGCGUGGGGAGCAAACAGGAUUAGAUACCCUGGUAGUCCACGCCGUAAACGAUGUCAACUAGCCGUUGGGAGUCUUGAACUCUUAGUGGCGCAGCUAACGCAUUAAGUUGACCGCCUGGGGAGUACGGCCGCAAGGUUA